CCUUGGUUGUAACUCCUGUCGGUUGGGAAGAAAUUGUUCGGGCUAAUACCUCCGGACAUUGACUGUACCAGCAAAGGAAGCCCCGGCUAACUCUGUGC
rnacentral:rRNA from 1 species